rnacentral:lncRNA from 1 species
CAGGAAGGGAGCAGAGGCGAGAGCCAGCCUCCGGCAGGAGGGCGUAGACCCCGGUGCCAGCCAGAACGGCUCCAGCCUUCCCGCGGCCAGAGAGCCAGCGGCGGGAGGGGACGGGCGGGACCUCCGCGGACAGCCCCGGGUGCGGACCAGCGGGCAGCGGCCGGCGAGACCCUCCCUGGAUCCGCCCAGAGCUUACCGGACCCUGCGCGCCCCCGUCCCGGCUCCCGGCCGGCUCGGGGGAGAAGGCGCCCGAGGGGAGGCGCCGGACAGAUCGCGUUUCGGAGGCGGCGCAGGUGCUGUAAACUGCAAACCAUAAUCCUGUCUUAAUACUGCAAACAAAUCAUAGUGGAACUAAGGGGAACUUAAUUUACUGAAUCUCUUGUUUGGAAAUUUCCUCCCAGAAUACCCAACCUCUCAAGAAUUUUAAAACGAUGGAGUAAAAUAAUCUUCAAGCUCUGAUUAGAUUACAACAUAUGAAUGCUAAUUUUGUUUUUACAGGUUUCAACACCCAAAUUUAUCUGAACUUAGGGCACAAUAAGCAGUUUAACUGUUAGAAAUCUUAUGAGAUUGAGUUUGUGCCUAUCAGAUGAAUACAUAUUUGUAUAUAACAUUUCAAUUAUUGCUACAUUUAUGUAUAAUUUAUCCAAAAGCGAUGUUAUCCA